rnacentral:rRNA from 1 species
UACGUAGGGGGCAAGCGUUGUUCGGAUUCAUUGGGCGUAAAGGGUGCGUAGGCGGCCCUGUAAGUCAGUGGUGAAAUACUCUAGCUUAACUAGAGGGGUGCCAAUGAUACUGCAGGGCUUGAGUACAGAUGAGGUAGGCGGAAUUGACGGUGUAGCGGUGAAAUGCAUAGAUAUCGUCAAGAACACCUAUAGCGAAGGCAGCUUACUGGGCUGUAACUGACGCUGAGGCACGAAAGUGUGGGGAUCAAACAGG